CAAGAAUGAAACUCAAAGGAAUUGACGGGGCCCGCACAAGCGGAGGAACAUGUGGUUUAAUUCGAUGAUACGCGAGGAACCUUACCCGGGCUUGAAAGUUAGUGACGGAUGCCGAAAGGUGUCUUCCCUUCGGGGCACGAAACUAGGUGCUGCAUGGUUGUCGUCAGCUCGUGCCGUGAGGUGUCGGGUUAAGUCCCAUAACGAGCGCAACCCCUAUCGUUAGUUACCAGCGCAUAAUGGCGGGGACUCUAGCGAGACUGCCGGUGUAAGCCGAGAGGAGGGUGGGGAUGACGUCAAAUCAGCACGGCCCUUACGUCCGGGGCGACACACGUGUUACAAUGGUCGGUACAGAGGGCAGCUACUUGGUGACAGGAUGCGAAUCUCGAAAGCCGGUCUCAGUUCGGAUUGGAGGCUGAAACUCGCCUCCAUGAAGUUGGAUUCGCUAGUAAUCGCGCAUCAGCCAUGGCGCGGUGAAUACGUUCCCGGGCCUUGUACACACCGCCCGUCAAGCCAUGGGAG
rnacentral:rRNA from 1 species